rnacentral:rRNA from 2 species
UCGAACGCGUUGGCCCAAUUGAUUGAUGGUGCUUGCACCUGAUUGAUUUUGGUCGCCAACGAGUGGCGGACGGGUGAGUAACACGUAGGUAACCUGCCCAGAAGCGGGGGACAACAUUUGGAAACAGAUGCUAAUACCGCAUAACAGCGUUGUUCGCAUGAACAACGCUUAAAAGAUGGCUUCUCGCUAUCACUUCUGGAUGGACCUGCGGUGCAUUAGCUUGUUGGUGGGGUAACGGCCUACCAAGGCGAUGAUGCAUAGCCGAGUUGAGAGACUGAUCGGCCACAAUGGGACUGAGACACGGCCCAUACUCCUACGGGAGGCAGCAGUAGGGAAUCUUCCACAAUGGGCGCAAGCCUGAUGGAGCAACACCGCGUGAGUGAAGAAGGGUUUCGGCUCGUAAAGCUCUGUUGUUAAAGAAGAACACGUAUGAGAGUAACUGUUCAUACGUUGACGGUAUUUAACCAGAAAGUCACGGCUAACUACGUGCCAGCAGCCGCGGUAAUACGUAGGUGGCAAGCGUUAUCCGGAUUUAUUGGGCGUAAAGAGAGUGCAGGCGGUUUUCUAAGUCUGAUGUGAAAGCCUUCGGCUUAACCGGAGAAGUGCAUCGGAAACUGGAUAACUUGAGUGCAGAAGAGGGUAGUGGAACUCCAUGUGUAGCGGUGGAAUGCGUAGAUAUAUGGAAGAACACCAGUGGCGAAGGCGGCUACCUGGUCUGCAACUGACGCUGAGACUCGAAAGCAUGGGUAGCGAACAGGAUUAGAUACCCUGGUAGUCCAUGCCGUAAACGAUGAGUGCUAGGUGUUGGAGGGUUUCCGCCCUUCAGUGCCGGAGCUAACGCAUUAAGCACUCCGCCUGGGGAGUACGACCGCAAGGUUGAAACUCAAAGGAAUUGACGGGGGCCCGCACAAGCGGUGGAGCAUGUGGUUUAAUUCGAAGCUACGCGAAGAACCUUACCAGGUCUUGACAUCUUGCGCCAACCCUAGAGAUAGGGCGUUUCCUUCGGGAACGCAAUGACAGGUGGUGCAUGGUCGUCGUCAGCUCGUGUCGUGAGAUGUUGGGUUAAGUCCCGCAACGAGCGCAACCCUUGUUACUAGUUGCCAGCAUUAAGUUGGGCACUCUAGUGAGACUGCCGGUGACAAACCGGAGGAAGGUGGGGACGACGUCAGAUCAUCAUGCCCCUUAUGACCUGGGCUACACACGUGCUACAAUGGACGGUACAACGAGUCGCGAACUCGCGAGGGCAAGCAAAUCUCUUAAAACCGUUCUCAGUUCGGACUGCAGGCUGCAACUCGCCUGCACGAAGUCGGAAUCGCUAGUAAUCGCGGAUCAGCAUGCCGCGGUGAAUACGUUCCCGGGCCUUGUACACACCGCCCGUCACACCAUGAGAGUUUGUAACACCCAAAGUCGGUGGGGUAACCUUUUAGGAGCCAGCCGCCUAAG